AAGUUCAGUUGCCAGUUUAUGAAAGAAAAACGCAUGGCAAAAUCUCUUGGUCACCUUUCAAUUUUCUGUCGAAGUAAUAAAGAGACAAACAAGAGCAGCGGAGAAAUUCCCAGAAAGCAAAUAUCAUAGUGUGCGGUGCCUAUGAUGAGAAAUAAAACUGUCGACUCACAUGUCCACACAAAUGUGAGUGAGCAGAAUAGAAACGACGCGGGCGACACCUCGAACCAAAACGAAGACGCUUCAGACGGCAGAAGUUCAGUGGAAGGACUUGUCAACUUCAACUUGUGAAGCUGAAUCUUCAUGACUGCGGUGGUUUGGAGAAAAGGACCAAGGUGAGUUUAGAGUAAGAAAUACCUUGAUGUUUUCCUGGUGAAUUGUCACUGUUACUACUUCUUAAUUUGCUAAUAAUAUU